AAACAGCUAGCUUAUCCACCAAUAUAACCAAAUAAUAUAAAUAAAAUAGAAUAGGCCGAACACCAAAAACUAAACCAUUCUUUUACCUGAGUAUGGGAGACAGAAAAGGUUCAACUAAAGCAAUAGAAAUAGUACCGCAAGGGAAAGCUGAAAGAGAAAUGAAAUAACCCAUAUAAGUAACAAAAAGCAAAGACUAAACCUUGUACCUUUUGCAUCAUGAUUUAGCCAGUAAACACAAGCAAAGAGACCUUUAGUUUGAAACCCCGAAACCAGGUGAGCUACCCCGAGACAGCCUAUUAAGGGCCAACCCGUCUCUGUGGCAAAAGAGUGGGAAGAGCUCCGGGUAGAAGUGACAGACCUACCGAACCUGGUGAUAGCUGGUUGCCUAAGAAAUGAAUAGAAGUUCAGCCUCGUACACCUCAAAUCAAAUAAACACCAAUCAAGACACCAAGAGAAAGACACGAGAGUUAGUUAAAGGGGGUACAGCCCCUUCAACAAAGGACACAACCUUAUUCAGGAGGAUAAAGAUCAUAAUAUAUAAAACAUACUGUUCUAGUGGGCCUAAAGGCAGCCACCUAAACAGAAAGCGUUAAAGCUCAGACAGAAAAAAGUUUAUUAUUCUGAUAAAAAAUCUUACUCCCCUAAAUACUAUUAGGCUAAUCCAUGCCCCCAUGGAAGAAAUUAUGCUAAAAUGAGUAACAAGAAGGCCCGCCCUUCUCCAAGCACAAGUGUAAGCCAAACCGGACCAACCAUUGGCAACUAACGAACUCAACCCAAGAGAGCAAUGUGAACCAUAAAAAAAACAAGAAAAACCCACAACUCAACAAUCGUUAACCCCACACUGGAUUGCUAUUAAAGGAAAGACUAAAAGAAAAGGAAGGAACUCGGCAAACACAAGCCUCGCCUGUUUACCAAAAACAUCGCCUCCUGCAACGCAGCCAUGUAUAGGAGGUCCAGCCUGCCCAGUGACUACAAGUUCAACGGCCGCGGUAUUUUGACCGUGCAAAGGUAGCGCAAUCACUUGUCUUUUAAAUAGA
rnacentral:rRNA from 1 species